CCUGUGGAAGGCCCAGAAAUCAAGCCACCAGCAACAGACUUUCCCAUCCUCAAGGACUUAUUAUAUGACAAGGUCAGAAGGAGUCAAGGACGACCCCAUGCUGCUCAGGACUCGCGGCGAGGAUCAGUGUGGGAGCCUGUGGAAGAAACAAGGGAGCCGAGGACGGUGUGUAUGCUGACCACACCGAGGCCAAGAUGCUGGUGAGAACAGAAUGGAGACCAAUAACCAUUGGCCACUUAACCAGGUGUCUGUCCAGGAAACUGAAGCGGGUUUCAACCUGCCAGCAAGAAAACGAGUACUUGAUAGAAUAUGUUGAGUCACUGAAAGAAUGAACUGAAUCACAACUCGCUAAAGGGUUGUCACCAGCCUAUCCCGGAAGCAGCAUGUUUGUUGUCCCGGGCACCCGCCCGGGGCUCUUAGCUGCAAUGACGUGGUAACGCAAAAUGUUACCUAAUAAGCAUAUGGAUCCCUCAAAGAUCCAGCAUUAACCACUAGCUAAGGGAGAGACACCAGCUUCCAUCACAGCUUCCUACUUCUUGGCUGAGCCCAGAGCCCCUCAGAGGCAUAGUGUGUCUGCAAGGAGGAGAGACUCUUUCUGGAAAAUCCUAUAAGCCUCAGAACCCUCAAGUCACUCGAGGAAAGUGGAAGAUGCUCUCAAGAGGAAUGAACACUGGAUUCAGGGCCACCUAGUGAAUGGGGCUGGAGCCGUAUUUAACUGGAUUAAGAAAAGUAAUAAAUCACGACUUUUCACA